rnacentral:misc_RNA from 1 species
GAUGAAGAACGUAGUGAAAUGCGAUAAGUAAUGCGAAUUGCAGAAUUCCAGUGAGUCAUCGAGUCUUUGAACGCACAUUGCGCCCCCUGGUAUUCCGGGGGGCAUGCCUGUCCGAGCGUCAUUGCUGCCCUCAAGCACGGCUUGUGUGUUGGGCCUCCGUCCUCCUCCCGGGGGACGGGCCCGAAAGGCAGCGGCGGCACCGCGUCCGGUCCUCGAGCGUAUGGGGCUUCGUCACCCGCUCUUGUAGGCCCGGCCGGCGCUUGCCGACACAUCAAUCUUUUUUCCAGGUUGACCUCGGAUCAGGUAGGGAUACCCGCUGAACUUAAGCAUAUCAAUAAGCGGAGGA